CGUGUCCGGCGCAGGUAUUUACUUCUUAGAGGGACAAGCGGCUCGGCAGUCGCACGAAAAUGAGCAAUAACAGGUCUGUGAUGCCCUUAGAUGUCCGGGGCCGCACGUGCGCUACAAUGACGGUUUCAGCGAGUUAGGGAUCCUGGCCCGAAAGGGUUGGGCAAACUACCCAUCAUCCUUGUGACCGGGAUCGGGGCUUGCAAAGAAUGAGGAAGACCUGGUACGUGCUUGAUCUUAUCUUACACCGAUUUUCAUAAGGCCCUUUGUGGUUUGACCGGCAGUCUAGGUGUGGGGAAUGGCAGCCCAACGACCUUCUCCUGUCCAUCCACGCACCUACCUGGCACACUUACCAGUUACCUGUUCUAGGGAGCAGAGUAGCGCAGUCCGAAGUUAAAAACUU
rnacentral:rRNA from 1 species